AUACAUACAUAUACAUACAUAUAUAAAUAUAUACAGUAUAUAUAUAUAUAUGUGUGUGUGUGUGUAUAU